CGCUGGUCGAACUGUGUGAAGGGAGGAUGAUGAUGAGAACGUUGACUGCCAGGAUAGGAGGAAUAAAGAGACUGAAGAAGGUGACAGAAUGGUCUGUACCAUUCGGAUGAGACUGAACUGUACAAGGUUUAUGUAGGUUGGGUGUCAACUGUCAGGAAUGAUUUUAGAGAAAUUGCUAUCUCUCAACUAAAGGAGAUAUGAAGGAAAGUCUAGAUUAUCAAGUGUAAUCAUGGAAGCUCUCAAGAAGGAUAUUCGAGAGGAUGCACCUCUUAUGCCUAAACAUGUAAGUUCAAUGGCAGAUUUGGUUAUCUCAAGACUUUUAGGGGCUGUUUUCCUCUAAUCUCCUCCUGUGACUAUUGUUGAAGUGACGCAGAGAAAGCCGGGCAUGAAAUGUUAUAAAUUAAAUAUUGAUGGUUGUUCUCUAGGAAAUCCAGGAAAUGCAAGUGUAGGCGAUGUCUUUCAAAAUUCUAUGGGUGAACCGAUUGGCAGUUUCUCAUAUUUUUCUGGAGUUCAUUCAAUCUUCUUUGCAGAAUUUGCUGCUUUAUUUUAUGGCUUGCAAUUAUCAAAAAGUAAAGGAAUUGCUCUUCUAUGGAUUGAGAGCGAUUCCAAUGCAGUGGUGAUCUGUGUGAAGAUUCAAAUGAUAGCAUGGAUGUUUCAGUGACAGUGGUUGUCCUUCAAGCUUUUCCUCUCUACUAUUUUGGUAAAUGUCCCACUCAAGCUUCAUGCUUAUUAAGAGUGUGCUCUUUGGAUGAUCAAAGCUUUGAAAAAAUGUGGAAUCGUCUCUUAUCUCUUAUACUGUACCUAACCCCCUCUUUUCCCCUUGGUUCUCAGUUUAACGAUCUUAUUAGUAUUCUUUGGUGAAGGGGGUUGUUAUGUAACUACUGUACCAGCCAUUCUAGCUGUUAAUAGUGGGCCAAUACUAUCUAGACAGUCCCUUGUGCUAUAAAGCUAACUGGAAGUUGCCAGUUGGUUUUUGUUUUCCUUUAUGAACAAUUCUAUUCCUUGGAUAUAUAUUGGUUUGGCACCUGUGAGAUUCU